rnacentral:rRNA from 1 species
GACGAACGCUGGCGGCGUGCCUAAUACAUGCAAGUCGAACGCAGUGGGGACGGGUGAGUAACACGUGGGUAACCUCCCAUCAGAGGGGAUAACACUUGGAAACAGGUGCUAAACCGAUACUGAUGGAUGGACCCGCGGUGCAUUAGCUAGUGGGUGGGGUAACGGCUCACCAAGGCUACGAUGCAUAGCCGGCCUGAGAGGAUGAUCGGCCACACUGGGACUGAGACACGGCCCAGACUCCUACGGGAGGCAGCAGUAGGGAAUCUUCGGCAAUGGACGAAAGUCUGACCGAGCAACGCCGCGUGAGUGAAGAAGGUUUUCGGAUCGUAAAACUCUGUUGUUAGAGAAGCGGUAUCUGAACAGAAAGCACCGGCUAACUACGUGCCAGCAGCCGCGGUAAUUC